UGGGGAAUAUUGCACAAUGGGGGAAACCCUGAUGCAGCCAUGCCGCGUGUAUGAAGAAGGCCUUCGGGUUGUAAAGUACUUUCAGUUGUGAGGAAGGCGUUGGAGUUAAUAGCUUCAGCGUUUGACGUUAGCAACAGAAGAAGCACCGGCUAACUCCGUGCCAGCAGCCGCGGUAAUACGGAGGGUGCGAGCGUUAAUCGAAAUUACUGGGCGUAAAGCGCAUGCAGGUGGUUUGUUAAGCAAGAUGUGAAAGCCCGGGGCUCAACCUCGGAACAGCAUUUUGAACUGGCAGACUAGAGUACUGUAGAGGGGGGUAGAAUUUCAGGUGUAGCGGUGAAAUGCGUAGAGAU
rnacentral:rRNA from 1 species